UGGCUGUUGGUAGAGCAUGGUGUUUGCAACGCCAGGGUUGUGGGUUCGAUUCCCAC
rnacentral:tRNA from 1 species